AAAAAGCGUGAUGCAGAGGGGAGGAGUGUGGAGGUGUGUGCUGUGUGUUUGGAGGAGGGACUCCUUCAGUUAGAGAAGUGAGGCGUCACAAGUUCCUGGUUUCCAGUGAAGAAGAAGAGAGGCAGCAGUAAACCAUCAGAGCCUCAUCAUGAAAGUCCAUCACACUCUGAUCUGCUUCUUCUUCCUUUCAGCUCUGCAGGAUGGAAACCCUGAAGUCACCAAUGCUCAGAUUCUUUCCUACGGAGUCAUUGGAGGAAAUGUUACAGUUCCUCUUGUUUUUCAAUCAUCUGGAACAUGGAAGAUGUUCUGCAGAGAAGAUUGUGAAGGAGAAAACAUUCUCAUUAAAACAACUGAUGUCAGAGCUCAAACAGGCAGAUACAGCAUUGAAUAUAAAAGAGAAUCAACAGUUUAUGUUUUAUCUGUGAGCAUCUCAAAGCUGACUGAGUCUGACUCUGGACAGUACAGCUGUGGUUUGGGUGGAUCUUCAUCAUCAGCUUCAUACGAACGGUUUGGAGUCUUUGUUGCUGAAGCACUGCUGGAUGGAAACGAUGAUCCUGCUCAGCUGAAACGCUUCAAUAAAGAAACUGGAAGCUCUCUCACAGUCGCAUGUUACUUUAAACAGCCUGGAAACAGAAAGAUGUUCUGCAGAGGAGGAUGUGGAGGAGACAACAUUCUUGUUGAAACCCGUAAAGUCAAAGCUCAGAGAGACAGAUACAACAUUAGAUAUGGUUCAGGAGUUCUGUAUGUGAGCAUCACACAGCUGACCAAGUCUGACUCAGGACGGUACAGAUGUUACCUGAGUGGUUCAUUCAGAGAGUUUGAGGUCACUGUCACAGACUCGGUCGUCUCAACAACAGCACAAAGUUUCACCUCCAUUUCCAGAAGCUUCACACCUUCACCAGCUUCCACUGGAACCACAGAGCAGUCUGGACAGAGUCAGUCUGAGAGAACAUCUACAGGAGGUGUCAGCGGGACACAAACAUCUUCCCAAACUGCUGCAGAUGUUCUCCUGUCUGUGGGCCUGACUCUGGCUGUCACCAUCAUCAUCAUUUCAGUGGCUGUGCUGAUUUCCUGCAAGAAAAGAUCUUCUAAAGUAAAGAACCCUUUUGUUGAAAUAUUACAUACUGCGAUCACAGAUGAUGAAGACAACUCCAGGACUGUGAUGAAUGUUUCCGACAAGGCCUUCGGCUUUCUGAACAGCGCCCCCUAUAGUCACACCAAUGAAGUCAUCUACUCUGUACCUCGGGAAGCCCACUAUGAGAACUGGACUCCAACUUGUGCAAUGUAAAGACUCAACCUACCAGAACAUGGAUCCAAUCAGCAGAGACUUGGACCAAACCUGCGCUGCACUCAUAUCACAGGAGACUCUCUGGAUUUGAUCAUUUUCCAGCCUCAGACUGAAGUUUGUUCACAGAUGCUGAAAACUGAGAAUCGAUAAACUACAUAAUCCUUUCAAAAUUACGAACACUGAAUUGCGUAAUUUCUAUCAUAAUGAAUUUGCUUCUUUAUGUAAAUUUAAUAAUGAUCAAAACCAAUCACAGCACAGAAACAGCUCUUACUAAAGACAUCAGUGACCUGAAGAUCCACAGUGACCCACAGAGAGUCUCAGUUUUAGAGCUUCUCACUGCUGCCUUCAACAUUGUUGAUGAAACGCUAAUUCAAAGACUUUGUGAUUCGGACGGUUUAACAUGUCAGGUCCUCGACUGACUCUCAUCAUAUCAAAAGUUUAGAAGUUUUUAUGUUUGAUCCGGUAAAUUCCAUCAGGGGUUGGAUCUGCCUGAUGCGUCCUCCUGUUAGAAUAGAGUUGUUCUUACAACAUACCUUACUAUAAAAAACUGCUGUUAUUUGUGCCAUAUUAAUAAAAUUUAAAAGAACAAUUGAAAUAAAUGAAGGAAAACAUGUCAGAGCCGUUCAUAUUUAUGCCAUGUGUCUGUUUCUUGUUUAGAGUUUGUUUGUCUUUUUCUGUGUUAUUCUGGCAUCUCUUGUAUAGGCGAGUUCAGACCUUUUUGGGGGAGGACCAAGCACCCCCAAAUCUCACCAAGGCACCUUUAAAAAUAACUAUAUUAUUAUUAUUAGCAGAA